rnacentral:rRNA from 1 species
GAUGAACGCUGGCGGCGUGCCUAAUACAUGCAAGUCGAGCGAACAGAUAAGGAGCUUGCUCCUUUGACGUUAGCGGCGGACGGGUGAGUAACACGUGGGUAACCUACCUAUAAGACUGGAAUAACUCCGGGAAACCGGGGCUAAUGCCGGAUAACAUUUAGAACCGCAUGGUUCUAAAGUGAAAGAUGGUUUUGCUAUCACUUAUAGAUGGACCCGCGCCGUAUUAGCUAGUUGGUAAGGUAACGGCUUACCAAGGCAACGAUACGUAGCCGACCUGAGAGGGUGAUCGGCCACACUGGAACUGAGACACGGUCCAGACUCCUACGGGAGGCAGCAGUAGGGAAUCUUCCGCAAUGGGCGAAAGCCUGACGGAGCAACGCCGCGUGAGUGAUGAAGGUCUUCGGAUCGUAAAACUCUGUUAUUAGGGAAGAACAAAUGUGUAAGUAACUGUGCACGUCAUGACGGUACCUAAUCAGAAAGCCACGGCUAACUACGUG